AUGCAAGUGUUUAGCAGAUGCUUUACUAUUAAAUUAUCCGCCACCCCCCCCCCCCCCAAGUCUCAAAUCUUGAAGAAUCUCAAACCAGGGACACCAGCCCCGGCGACGACGACCCUGGGCGACUGCAAAGCGCAGGCAACCUCGAUUCCCCGAAUUGGUGGAGUGGCCGGCAUCGGUGUCCCCCUGGUUUCACUGGCCUGUUUGAAGGUGCAGAUCAUUCUCCGGGAAGUACAGCUGAAACCAGUCCUCCUCUGCCCUCUGGGGGCCUUCAUUUUCCCAGCCUACAUCUGCUUGUGACUCCAGAAAGACAGACUUCAGAUUGGCCAAGGUGGGGAUUGACUCCCAGGAGCUGUCCAACAACAGUGGCUAGACUUGGUUCUGGAGUCUCCUAGUUGCAAGAAACAAGACCAUUAGGCCAUGUCCUCAG
rnacentral:lncRNA from 1 species